GAUCCUGGCUCAGGAUGAACGCUGGCGGCGUGCCUAACACAUGCAAGUCGAACGGAGUCGUUUUGGAAAUCUCUUCGGAGAUGGAAUUCUCGACUUAGUGGCGGACGGGUGAGUAACGCGUGAGCAAUCUGCCUUUAAGAGGGGGAUAACAGUCGGAAACGGCUGCUAAUACCGCAUAAAGCAUCAAAUUCGCAUGUUUUUGUAUGCCAAACGGAAGGCAAUACCACCUUUA
rnacentral:rRNA from 1 species